AUACAGAGGGUGCAAGCGUUAAUCGGAAUUACUGGGCGUAAAGCGCGCGUAGGCGGCUUGGUCAGUCGGAUGUGAAAGCCCUGGACUUAACCUGGGAAUUGCAUUCGAUACUGCCAGGCUAGAGUUUAGUAGAGGAAUGCGGAAUUCCGGGUGUAGCGGUGAAAUGCGUAGAGAUCCGGAGGAACAUCACUGGCGCAGGCAGCAUUCUGGGCUAAAACUGACGCUGAGGUGCGAAAGCGUGGGUAGCGCACAGGAUUAGAAACCCCGGUAGUCC
rnacentral:rRNA from 1 species